rnacentral:rRNA from 1 species
UGAGGAAUAUUGUACAAUGGGCGCAAGCCUGAUGCAGCGACGCCGCGUGGGUGAUGAAGGUCUUCGGAUCGUAAAGCCCUUUUCUGCGUGACGAGACAGGACGGUAGCGCAGGAAUAAGUCUCGGCUAACUACGUGCCAGCAGCCGCGGUAAAACGUAGGAGACGAACGUUAUCCGGAGUUACUGGGCGUAAAGGGCGUGUAGGCGGUUUGUUAAGUCUGGCGUGAAAGCUCUCGGCUAAACCGGGAGAGGUCGUUGGAUACUGGCGAACUAGAGGAUGGUAGGGGCGUGUGGAAUUCCGGGUGUAGUGGUGAAAUGCGUAGAGAUCCGGAGGAACACCAGUGGCGAAGGCGACACGCUGGGCCAUACCUGACGCUAAAGCGCGACAGCAUGGGGAGCAAACGGGAUUAGAUACCCCCGUAGUCCCUGAGCGGGCUGGCAAGGCGCAU